rnacentral:rRNA from 1 species
GGUCAGGACGAACGCUGGCGGCGUGCCUAACACAUGCAAGUCGAGCGAGGAGAUCCUUCGGGAUGAUCCUAGCGGCGGACGGGUGAGUAACACGUGGGCAACCUGCCUCAUAGAGAGGAAUAGCCUUCCGAAAGGGAGAUUAAUACCUCAUAACAUUGCAGUUUCGCAUGGAACAGCAAUUAAAGGAGCAAUCCGCUAUGAGAUGGGCCCGCGGCGCAUUAGCUAGUUGGUGAGGUAACGGCUCACCAAGGCGACGAUGCGUAGCCGACCUGAGAGGGUGAUCGGCCACAUUGGGACUGAGACACGGCCCAGACUCCUACGGGAGGCAGCAGUGGGGAAUAUUGCACAAUGGGGGAAACCCUGAUGCAAGCAACGCCGCGUGAGUGAUGACGGCCUUCGGGUUGUAAAGCUCUGUCUUCAGGGACGAUAAUGACGGUACCUGAGGAGGAAGCCACGGCUAACUACGUGCCAGCAGCCGC